GACGAACCGUGCGAACGUUGUUCGGAAUCACUGGGCUUAAAGGGCGCGUAGGCGGGCUUACAAGUCCGGGGUGAAAGCCCCCAGCUCAACUGGGGAAGUGCCUUGGAUACUGUAAGCCUCGAGGGGGGUAGGGGCGUGCGGAACUUCCGGUGGAGCGGUGAAAUGCGUAGAGAUCGGAAAGAACACCAACGGCGAAAGCACUCUGCUGGGCCGACACUGACACUGAGAGACGAAAGCUAGGGGAGCGAAUGGG
rnacentral:rRNA from 1 species